GGUCAUUCGAUCAUGUCAUAAGAUUUCCCAAAAAUCUAUCUCAAUGAAGAGGGUGUUGAAAUCAAGGAAACAUUUGAGGGCAUUCCAUAACUUUUUCCCCUUCAAGCAAUAUCACAGACAACAUGCACUCCUUUUCCUCCUCUGCAUCAAUCAUGUGAAAAUCCCUACAAACUAACGAAUGGAUUUCCAAUGAUUUGUCAAUAAUCCAUUUCUAUAAAAGGGCACAUUCAUCAUUAGACACAUAGAAGUUGGAUAAACCCAACAACCUUCCAUCCAGAGUCAAAAAAAUUGAAACCCAUUUUUGAGAGUUGUUGGUGCCUCAUCCUAUAACUGACGACAACGUUAGGAAAUCCGGAGACAUCGUCGAGGGCCUCGGAAAGAGUUAUAUUUUCUUUUUAACAUCUUGCCCACCCUGAAAUCGGCUCAACCAGAAAUAGGGUACAACAACUAGAAGAGCAUCACACAUCUUGCGGUGUUUGGUGCGCCCUCGACAGCCCUUGAAAAUAUGGAGGACCGAGUACCAUCCAUGCACGAUCGUACUCAUAACCACAUCAGGUCUCCAAGGUGAACAAACUCUGGUCAAUAGAAUAAUGUAGGUAAGGGAAGUCAAUGAAAUGGAUCCAUAACUUUGGGAAAAGGAUUGGCUCUGCGGGCUGGGCCUAGGGGUCUGCGUCCUCAACCCGUGGGUUGUCAAUAGUCUACCCGAGCUGUUAUCGCGGCGAGGGAGGGUAGUCGUCUGUCGAUUGGGCUACAAAUUUAGGAUGUCCCCUCAAGGGGGAUUUUCCCUAGGCGACGAACAAUUGAAUUAGAUCUGGUACGGACAAGGGGAAUCUGAUUGUUUAAUUAAAACAAAGCAUUGUGAUGGUCCCUGUGAAUGCUGACGCAAUGUGAUUUCUGCCCAGUUCUCUGAAUGUCGAAGUGAAGAAAUUCAACCAAGUGCAGGUAAACGGAUAGAGACUUCAAUCCUUAGAAUCCUUGAGUUUGCAACAAGGAUCAAGAUCAGGAAGGAUAGAGACUUGGAGAAGUUCAGAGAAAAGACGAGGUUUUGAAGUCACCUCGUGGAAUCAAGCUCAGAAGGGAGGACGCCAAGUUAUUUGGCAAGGAAUUAUCGAGAGUCUAAAUGGAUGGUGGAAAUUCCCACAAGGAGAAACACCGAUUUCCAUGGACCGUUGGAUCUAGUAGAUCUACGAGGAGGAUAAGGGAAAGAGUCUUCCAACACUUGUAAGCUCAGGAGGAAUAGUAGCCGUCAGAUGUGAAGGAGCAAGAGCCGUUGAUUUGGCUCUCUAAAAUAUUGACAUUUCGGGAGUCGGGAGUGUGGAGGAAGCUGCAACCCAAAAUCCGUGAGUCGCGAAAUCUCGAUUCACAAAGGAAGAACCUGGAGCGUUGGAUCACGGGAGAUGAGGGUCGUCGAUCUGGCAUAGCGGUCAUCGUGAGUUCGUAUUUUGGGAAAAGGGGAGAGAACCACUUCACAAACCCCCAAUACAUGAAAUCUCAAUGCACUCAGAGGUUGGGCCCCAGGUUGUAGCCAAAGGUCAGAUGGAGAAAACUUACAAAAUUGGGGAAGACUUGAAAAUUUGGAAGUGAGCUUGUUCUUCUUUGAAAUCGAUGAUUUUACACUCUCUCAUGCCAUUGGCAAGGUUCUUGAAACCUGAUUGUCUUCUUAACUAAAUAUUAUAGGGCCUUAGAUAUAUUUUCCAAUGCUUUAUCAACCCAAGUCUUGAUGUAACCCAUGAUGGGUCCCAUUGGGACCUCCUAUUUCACCCUUAAGGAAAAUAUUUU
rfam:Picea glauca, whole genome shotgun sequence.